GACGAACGCUGGCGGCGUGCUUAACACAUGCAAGUCGAACGGAAAGGCCCUGCUUUUAGGGGGUGCUCUAGUUGCGAACGGGUGAGUAACACGUGAGUAACCUGCCAUUGACUUUGGGAUAACUUAAGGAAACUGGGGCUAAUACCGGAUAGGAUCUCCUGCUGCAUGGUGGGGGUUGGAAAGUUUCGGCGGUUGGGGAUGGACUCGCGGCGUAUCAGCUUGUUGGUGGGGUAGUGGAUUACCAAGGCUUGGACGGGUAGCCGGCCUGAGAGGGUGACCGGCUCAAUUGGGACUGAGAUACGGCACAGCCUCCUACGGGAGGCAGCAGUGGGGAAUAUUGCACUAGGGGAGGAAGCCUGAUGCAGCACAGCCGCGUGCGGGAUGACGGCCUUCGGGUUGUAAACCGCUUUCGCCUGUGACGAAGCGUGAGUGACGGUAAUGGGUAAAGAAGCACCGGCUAACUACGUG
rnacentral:rRNA from 1 species